rnacentral:misc_RNA from 1 species
UCGAAUGGCCCCUGUGCCUUCAACCCUUCAAAACCUGUGGAAGCGACUCGUGCUUCGGCGCUCAGGCGCCGCUUUUAUGCAGAAGUCUGUCUCGACGUCUGAAUCGAAUAUGGAAAUGAA